CCUACGUGUGGCUGCAGUGGGGAAUAUUGGACAAUGGGCGAAAGCCUGAUCCAGCCAUGCCGCGUGUGUGAAGAAGGCCUUCGGGUGGUAAAGCACUUUCAGUGGGGAAGAAAGCCUUGGGGCUAAUACCCUCGAGGAAGGACAUCACCCACAGAAGAAGCACCGGCUAACUCCGUGCCAGCAGCCGCGGUAAUACGGAGGGUGCGAGCGUUAAUCGGAAUUACUGGGCGUAAAGCGCGCGUAGGCGGUCUGAUAAGCCGGUUGUGAAAGCCCCGGGCUCAACCUGGGAACGGCAUCCGGAACUGUCAGGCUAGAGUGCAGGAGAGGAAGGUAGAAUUCCCGGUGUAGCGGUGAAAUGCGUAGAGAUCGGGAGGAAUACCAGUGGCGAAGGCGGCCUUCUGGACUGACACUGACGCUGAGGUGCGAAAGCGUGGGUAGCAAACAGGAUUAAAUACCCUGGUAGUC
rnacentral:rRNA from 1 species